rnacentral:rRNA from 1 species
UGGGGAAUAUUGGACAAUGGGCGAAAGCCUGAUCCAGCCAUGCCGCGUGUGUGAAGAAGGUCUUCGGAUUGUAAAGCACUUUAAGUUGGGAGGAAGGGCAGUAAGCGAAUACCUUGCUGUUUUGACGUUACCGACAGAAUAAGCACCGGCUAACUCUGUGCCAGCAGCCGCGGUAAUACAGAGGGUGCAAGCGUUAAUCGGAAUUACUGGGCGUAAAGCGCGCGUAGGUGGUUCGUUAAGUUGAAUGUGAAAGCCCCGGGCUCAACCUGGGAACUGCAUCCAUAACUGGCGAGCUAGAGUAGGGCAGAGGGUGGUGGAAUUUCCUGUGUAGCGGUGAAAUGCGUAGAUAUAGGAAGGAACACCAGUGGCGAAGGCGACCACCUGGGCUCAUACUGACACUGAGGUGCGAAAGCGUGGGGAGCAAACAGG